CAAGCUUGCACUACUGGUAGGACCUUUCUCGCUUUCCUGACUGGCUUUUAAUUUUUCUUGGGAGUGCCCACUUGAAGUCUGUGCAGAAGAGUCUACAAGUUCAUGGAAACUCUGGGGUACCUGCAGCUUCCAACUUGCCCUUCAUACUAACUCAAGGAUUUUAUAUCUUCACAGUUGCCCACAUUUGGUCAAAAGAAAUGAGAAGAGCUGGAGAAAAAAAUGAAGGACAUAUUUUUUUUAAGAUUGUAUGAAAGCUAAAAAACAUACAUUUAUUGGUCCUGUAAGAAUCUUCCUGGAAAAUAUUGUGUUAAUGUAAAUGAAAGUACAUGAACAAUUUGCAAGAUGCAAGUAAAGAUCAAAUAAUAUGAAGAUUUUGUAAACAAAAAUGGGUAUCUGAAGUCUUGCAAAAUAAAGCAAAGACACAAGAUAAAAUAUCA
rnacentral:lncRNA from 1 species